UAUUUUCUAAAAAAGGAAAAAAAAGAAAAAAAAAAUAGAAAAGAAAAACAAAAGAGAAAAAUGCACUUGCCGAGACUAAAAACUCUAACAGAUAUAAAAUGCUCGGAAAAUUUGAGUAGAAAAAGAGUCAAAAGAGUGAAAUUAACCCCCAGAGUAUACAUGAUGCACGAGAAAAAAAAAAAAAUCACACAACAUGACUACCGAGUUCAAAACCCUUUGUUAUCCAUUUUUUUUGUUUAUCCCACCGUACCCAAGCCCCGUUACAACCUAAAAAGACCUCAAAAUGUGUGUGGAAUCUGCUGUGGUAGUGACAUUAGAAUG
rnacentral:lncRNA from 1 species